rnacentral:tRNA from 1 species
AACGAUAUAUUUUAAAUGGUAAAAAAUUUAUUUCAUACAUAAAAAUUGUUUGGUUCGAUUCCAACUAUCGUUA